rnacentral:lncRNA from 1 species
UUGCUACCCAGCUGUAUUGAUUCAAACUAUAAAUGAAAAUUUAGAAAAGCAACCACGAGAUACAGAACACUAGUAAAAGCAUCGUGUGAGGCUUAUUCAUGCUUCAGUAAUGGUUUAUAAUGAAACUUGUUAUAUGUCUUCCCAUGGCACACUAAGAUGGCGUUUGUUUUUUUACUUAAUUCUAAAUAGAACCUUAAUACUUAAUAGUAUUAAAUAUUAGGUUAUUUGUUUUUGUAGUAUUUUAUUUCUAUUAAGUAUUAAAAAGUAAAAAAAACCAUUGUAUUAUUUUUUCUAUUUAGAAAAAGUCAUAUAUUCUGACUUUUUCUAUUUAGUAAAAAGUUUAUAAUAAGUCAUGAAAAAGUAAAAAAACAAACAAUCUAAAUUCUAAAACUAAAUGGUUUUCAGCAAAAAGCCAAAAAAACAAACACCACCUAAAACCAUAAAUGAAUUCAAAGAAAAACAAUUACAACCUGGAAGUGGUUUGGAGAAUUGCAUCAUUGCAAGUAUGAAAAAUAUUUGAUCCAAAAUUUCCUAAUCAAUAUCAUGAACCUAUCAAAUAAAACCAAACUGCCCCACAAAUCACAAGACAAAAAGAUUGCAAAAAUAAUAAAGAAAGAAAAAGGUGAACCCAUGUUAAGGAUUAUAUAAAGUAGAAAAAUUCAUUUCAAGGACAUAGAAAGCACCCAAUCUCAAAAUGAUCCAACAAUAAUUCAAAUUUAAAAGAUUAUAUUAAUUAAUA